rnacentral:rRNA from 1 species
AGUGAACGCUGGCGGUAGGCCUAACACAUGCAAGUCGAACGGCAGCACAGUAAGAGCUUGCUCUUACGGGUGGCGAGUGGCGGACGGGUGAGGAAUACAUCGGAAUCUACUUUUUCGUGGGGGAUAACGUAGGGAAACUUACGCUAAUACCGCAUACGACCUACGGGUGAAAGCAGGGGAUCUUCGGACCUUGCGCGAUUGAAUGAGCCGCUGUCGGAUUAGCUAGUUGGCGGGGUAAAGGCCCACCAAGGCGACGAUCCGUAGCUGGUCUGAGAGGAUGAUAAGCCACACUGGAACUGAGACACGGUCCAGACUCCUACGGGAGGCAGCAGUGGGGAAUAUUGGACAAUGGGCGCAAGCCUGAUCCAGCCAUACCGCGUGGGUGAAGAAGGCCUUCGGGUUGUAAAGCCCUUUUGUUGGGAAAGAAAAGCAGCAGGUUAAUACCCAGCUGUUCUGACGGUACCCAAAGAAUAAGCACCGGCUAACUUCGUG